UUAAACAAGGAUGUGUUCUUCUUGAUUGCUAUUUUGUUUUCUUCGAACAGAUCUGAAUCUGACGACCUUUAGUAUGAAUCGAAUGUUGUGUUUGAUUUUGCUCAUUGCGUGUGACGGCUAUCGAAAAAGAUUUGAAUGGAAAGUUGUCUUUGGUAUUGUUCGUUGAGAGUGACAUCCAUUCGAAAAAUGGGUUUGGUUGAUCUUGAGGACUUUUUAAAAGAACUUCAGAAUAAAGAGUAAGGUGGUGUUUGUUUUUUGGCCAGAAGCACUUCUGAAGCUGUUUAAUUUGGUAUCAUGCAGUUGAUUAUGCAGUAGACAUAAUAAAGGGUUGUGUGAUAAUCUUUCGAAUUGCUGGAGUGACAAUGUAUUUUCAAAAGCUAAUCUGAUAAACAUUGAACAAGUUAAUCCCAAUGCUAUGGAAAUUGGAUGUUUUAGUGACUGUUGAUUGUGGAGUAUAUCCAUGUCUUUUCCGAAUUAGUAAGGUGUGAUGUCUCUAUAGAGAAAACCGUGUAAGAGAAAGAUCGAAAUCACGACAAAUUGACAGGUUGCCCUUAUCAUCUUCUCGAGUCAUGGGCGUUUAUAUUUAUCUACCAAACUGGUUGUCUAAAGAUACAUAAAAGAUAUUACAAUAUUGUAGGGACUGCACAAACCAGAAUAUGAAGACAACCUUAUCGCUAUAAACAAUAGUGGGGAUCCAAAUUGCUUGCUUGGAAUUCUUACCUAAGGUCUCCAUGUUCUCGAAUCUGAAACUUGAAAAUCUUAUUGAGUUGCUUGGUUACUAUGUUAAAAGGAGACAUUUGUGGCUUAUGAAUUUGCAACCAUGGGAUCUCUACAUGACAGUUUGUAUAACAUGCUGCAUUUGAAGGAGCCCUUAUAGGUAUGCUAUUAGUUAUGUUGCAUUAAAUUAUGUAUUUCGGUGGUGUCAAGACUCCCGUCAAAUAACACUCUUAAUAACUUGAUGAGUUUUUGUAUACAAACUUUAUUUUGGUUCAAGUCGAAUGAUUAGUUGGUUUAUU
rnacentral:lncRNA from 1 species